GCCGGGCGUGGUGGCACACGCCUGUAAUACCAGAGCUCGGGAGGCUGAGGCAGGAGCAUAGCCAGUUCAAAACCAGCCUCAGUAAUAGGAGGUGCUAAGCAAAUCAGUGAGACCCUGUCUCUA
rnacentral:sRNA from 1 species